GUUACAUAUACCUUAAUGAAACAACCUUGUUAUCUCUUUAUCCCUGAUCCAUUCCGGGCAAACCUCUUCCAUAUUAUAAUACAUUAUCAAAAUAUUUUAACAAUCUAAAUAUCACUAGCAUUAUAAUUGUUUUCACUGCCAUCUCCAAACACAAACAUAUACAAUCAAUGUGGUGAGCGAUUAACAAUACCUUAUAUGUACAAUUCAGGAAACGCCAAUAAAACCAGAGGUGAACCAGCUAUCUCGAUACAUAUACCAUAUACAUAUAUCUGUCUUAAGACCUGGUAAUGUUUAGUAAUACAAUUACUCGUGUAUCUCCUCAACAUCCAUAUAACAUACGUUAUAUACGGUCUACUGCUCGUUAUAACAUGCAUUUACAGCCAUAGGAGUGAUUUUGUGAUUUUGUUUCUCUUGUAUAAAGCACAAGCUUCACACUCACAUCCAUAGGAGUGUUCAUUGGAGAAUAAUCUCACAAUUAAACUUCUUGAUAACUUUUUGAUGUAAUGAGAUUAUGUCAAAGAUAAUCCUUUACUUGUAUGUUUGAUUCAAAUUUCAAGAAUUACAUCCACUUCCUCCAUGGCUUUCAUUACAAAAUUUUAUGACAAUAAAACUUCAGUACGCUC
rnacentral:lncRNA from 1 species